rnacentral:tRNA from 1 species
GGUAAAAUGGCUGAUAAUAGGCGAUAGAUUGUAAAUUUAUUUAUGAAAAUUAUUUCUUUUACCA